UCAAGGACAUGCUUCUUGAGCACAAUACAAUUGAAACACGCAGAGAAGUAGCCAUCUGCUGCCUUAUCACUUUCCUUGGAGAGAAGGAAGAGAUCCUUUUCAUGGAGUUCGAUAUAAGUUGGCCUUAAGUUAACGCCGAAGAACUUAAGGCCAACCUUGAAAGGCGGGUGAUGAAAACUGCCAUCAUCAGUGACCGGUACACCCCUGGAUCUAACCAUAAGACUGCAACCAUUGUGGUGGAGGAAACAAAAAUCAUGGAGGGCCAGAAUUUCCCAAGGUGCUGUGUUUUGCUCAUGGGCAUAAUAUAUGCUCUCAAUCUGAGCUAAUGCAAGGAUCUGA
ensembl:lncRNA